CGUGCCUAAUACAUGCAAGUCGAGCGCGGGAAGCAAGCAAUCACCCUUCGGGGUGAGCGCUUGUGGAACGAGCGGCGGACGGGUGAGUAACACGUGGGCAACCUGCCUGUAAGAUUGGGAUAACCCCGGGAAACCGGAGCUAAUACCGAAUAAUACUUUUUAUCACAUGGUAGAAAGUUGAAAGGCGGCUUUUGCUGUCACUUACAGAUGGGCCCGCGGCGCAUUAGCUAGUUGGUGGGGUAAUGGCCUACCAAGGCGACGAUGCGUAGCCGACCUGAGAGGGUGAUCGGCCACACUGGGACUGAGACACGGCCCAGACUCCUACGGGAGGCAGCAGUAGGGAAUCUUCCGCAAUGGACGAAAGUCUGACGGAGCAACGCCGCGUGAGUGAUGAAGGUUUUCGGAUCGUAAAACUCUGUUGUUAGGGAAGAACAAGUAUCGUUCGAAUAGGACGGUGCCAUGACGGUACCUAACCAGAAAGCCCCGGCUAACUACGUGCCAGCAGCCGCGGUAAUACGUAGGGGGCAAGCGUUGUCCGGAAUUAUUGGGCGUAAAGCGCUCGCAGGCGGUCUUUUAAGUCUGAUGUGAAAGCCCACGGCUUAACCGUGGAGGGUCAUUGGAAACUGGAGGACUUGAGUACAGAAGAGGAGAGUGGAAUUCCACGUGUAGCGGUGAAAUGCGUAGAGAUGUGGAGGAACACCA
rnacentral:rRNA from 1 species